AGUGAGCGCUGGCGGCGUGCCUAAUACAUGCAAGUCGAACGGACAAGUAAGAGCUUGCUCUUAUGAGUUAGUGGCGCACGGGUGAGUAAUGUAUAGCUAAUCUGCCCUACACUAGAGGACAACAGUUGGAAACGACUGCUAAUACUCUAUACUCCUCUCUAGCAUAAGUUAGAUAGGGAAAGUUUUUCGGUGUAGGAUGAGGCUAUAUUGUAUCAGCUAGUUGGUGAGGUAAUGGCUCACCAAGGCUAUGACGCAUAACUGGUCUGAGAGGAUGAUCAGUCACACUGGAACUGAGACACGGUCCAGACUCCUACGGGAGGCAGCAGUAGGGAAUAUUGCUCAAUGGGGGAAACCCUGAAGCAGCAACGCCGCGUGGAGGAUGACACUUUUCGGAGCGUAAACUCCUUUUGUUAGGGAAGAACAAUGACG
rnacentral:rRNA from 1 species